rnacentral:rRNA from 1 species
GUGAGGAAUUUUCCGCAAUGGGCGAAAGCCUGACGGAGCAAUGCCGCGUGAAGGAUGAAGGCCUAUGGGUUGUAAACUUCUUUUCUCAGAAAAGAAUUAUGACGGUAUCUGAGGAAUAAGCAUCGGCUAACUCUGUGCCAGCAGCCGCGGUAAGACAGAGGAUGCAAGCGUUAUCCGGAAUGAUUGGGCGUAAAGCGUCUGUAGGUUGUUUAAAAAGUAUUCUGUCAAAGAUUAGGGCUUAACCCUAGAUAGGCAGAAUAAACUUUUAAGCUAGAGUUUGGUAGAAGCAGAGGGAAUUCCCGGUGGAGCGGUGAAAUGCGUAGAUAUCGGGAGGAACACCAAAGGCGAAGGCACUCUGCUGGGCCAAUACUAACACUGAGAGACGAAAGCGAGGGGAGCAAAUGGGAUUAGAAACCCGUGUAGUCC